rnacentral:lncRNA from 1 species
ACUGAGCUUUUCCAUGCAAUCAGCAUUAGGGUUUUAAACCCUAAACUGAAUUUUCCUUUUAGUCAGCAUUAGGGUUUUAAACCCUAAACUGAACUUUUUCCUUUCAGCCAGCAUUAGGGUUUUAAACCCUAAACUGAGCUUUUCCAUGCAAUCAGCAUUAGGGUUUUAAACCUGAAACUGAAUUUUUCCUUUAGUCAGCGUUAGGGUUUUAAACCCUAAACUGAACUUUUCCUUUUAGUCAGCAUUAGGGUUUUAAACCCUAAACUGAGCUUUUCCAUGCAAUCAGCAUUAGGGUUUUAAACCCUAAACUGAAUUUUCCUUUUAGUCAGCAUUAUGGUUUAUAACCCUAAACUGAACUUUUUCCUUUCAGUCAGCAUUAGGGUUUUAAACCCUAAACUGAGCUUUUCCAUGCAAUCAGCAUUAGGGUUUUAAACCCUAAACUGAAUUUUCCUUUUAGUCAGCAUUAGGGUUUUAAACCCUAAACUGAACUUUUUCCUAUCAGCCAGCAUUAGGGUUUUAAACCCUAAACUGAGCUUUUCCAUGCAAUCAGCAUUAGGGUUUUAAACCCUAAACUGAGCUUUUCCAUGCUAUCAGCAUUAGGGUUUUAAACACUAAACUAAAUUUCCCAUUUAGUCAGCAUUAGGGUUUUAAACCCUAAACUGAACUUUUUCCUUUCAGCCAGCAUUUGGGUUUUAAACCUUAAACUGAGCUUUUCCAUGCAAUCAGCAGUAGGGUUUUAAACCCUAAACUGAACUUUUUCCUUUCAGCCAGCAUUAGGGUUUUAAACCCUAAACUGAGCUUUUUCCAUACAAUCAGCAUUAGGGUUUUAAACCCUAAACUGAAUUUCCCAUUUAGUCAGCAUUAGGGUUUUAUACCCUAAACUGAACUUUUUCCUUUCAGCCAACAUUAGGGUUUUAAACUCUAAAUUGAGCUUUUCCAUGCAAUCAGCAUUAGGGUUUUAAACCCUAAACUGAGCUUUUUCCUUUCAGCCAGCAUUAGGGUUUUAAACCCUAAACUGAGCUUUUCCAUGUAAUCAGCAUUAGGGUUUUAAACCCUAAACUGAAUUUUCCUUUUAGUCAGCAUUAGGGUUUUAAACCCUAAACUGAACUUUUUUCAUUCAGCCAGCACUAGGGUUUUAAACUCUAAACUGAUCUUUUCCAUGCAAUCAGCAUUAGGGUUUUAAACCCUAAACUGAGCUUUUCCAUGUAAUCAGUAUUAGGGUUUUAAACCCUAAACUGAAUUUUCCUUUACAUCAGCAUUAGGGUUUUAAACCCUAAGCUGAACUUUUCCUUUUAGUCAGCAUUAGGGUUUUAAAACCCUAAACUGAACUUUUCCAUGUAAUCAGCAUUAGGGUUUUAAACCCUAAACUGAAUUUUCCUUUUAGUCAGCAGUAGGGUUUUAAACCCUAAACUGAACUUUUUCCAUUCAGCCAACAUUAGGGUUUUAAACCCUAAAUUAAGCUUUUCCAUGUAAUCAGCAUUAGGGUUUUAAACCCUAAACUGAAUUUUCCUUUAUAUCAGCAUUAGGGUUUUAAACCCUAAGCUGAACUUUUCCUUUUAGUCAGCAUUAGGGUUUUAAAACCCUAAACUGAACUUUUCCAUGUAAUCAGCAUUAGGGUUUUAAACCCUAAACUGAAUUUUCCUUUUAGUCAGCAUUAGGGUUUUAAACCCUAAACUGAACUUUUUCCAUUCAGCCAACAUUAGGGUUUUAAACUCUAAAUUGAGCUUUUCCAUGCAAUCGGCAUUAGGGUUUUAAACCCUAAAUUGAACUUUCCUUUUAGUCAGCAUUAGGGUUUUAAACCCUAAACUGAACUUUUUCCUUUCAGCCAGCAUUAGGGUUUUAAACCCUAAACUGAGCUUUUCCAUGCUAUCACCAUUAGGGUUUUAAACCCUAAGCUGAACUUUUCCUUUUAGUCAGCAUUAGGGUUUUAAAACCCUAAACUGAACUUUUCCAUGUAAUUAGCAUUAGGGUUUUAAACCCUAAACUGAAUUUCCCUUUUAGUCAGCAUUAGGGUUUUAAACCCUAAACUGAACUUUUUCCAUUCAGCCAGCAUUAGGGUUUUAAACCCUAAACUGAGCUUUUCCAUGCAAUCAGCAUUAUGGUUUUAAACCCUAAACUGAAUUUUCCUAUUAGUCAGCAUUAGGGUUUUAAACCUUAAACUGAACUUUUCCUUUUAGUCAGCAUUAGGGUUUUAAACCCUAAACUGAACUUUUCCACUCAGCCAGCAUUAGGGUUUUAAACCCUAAACUGAGCUUUUCCAUGUAAUCAGCAUUAGGGUUUUAAACCCUAAACUGAAUUUUCCUUUUAGUCAGCAUUAGGGUUUUAAACCCUAAACUGAACUUUUUUCCAUUCAGCCAGCAUCAGGGUUUUAAACCCUAAACUGAGCUUUUCCAUGUAAUCAGCAUUAGGGUUUUAAACCCUAAACUGAAUUUUCCUUUUAGUCAGCAUUAGGGUUUUAAACCUUAAACUGAACUUUUCCUUUUAGUCAGCAUUAGGGUUUUAAACCCUAAACUGAACUUUUCCAUUCAGCCAGCAUCAGGGUUUUAAACCCUAAACUGAGCUUUUCCAUGCAAUCAGCAGUAGGGUUUUAAACCCUAAACUGAACUUUUCCAUUCAGCCAGCAUUAGGGUUUUAAACCCUAAACUGAGCUUUUCCAUGUAAUCAGCAUUAGGUUUUUAAACCCUAAACUGAAUUUUCCUUUUAGUCAGCAUUACGGUUUUAAACCCUAAACUGAACUUUUUCCUUUCAGCCAGCACUAGGGUUUUAAACCCUAAACUGAGCUUUUCCAUGCAAUCAGCAUUAGGGUUUUAAACCCUAAACUGAACUUUCCUUUUAGUCAGCAUUAGGGUUUUAAACCCUAAACUGAACUUUUUCCUUUCAGCCAGCAUUAGGGUUUUAAACCCUAAACUGAGCUUUUCCAUGCUAUCAGCAUUAGGGUUUUAAACCCUAAACUGAACUUUUUCCUUUCAGCCAGCAUUAGGGUUUUAAACCCUAAACUGAGCUUUUCCAUGCAAUCAGCAUUAGGGUUUUAAACCCUAAACUGAAUUUUCCUUUUAGUCAGCAUUAGGGUUUUAAACCUUAAACUGAACUUUUCCUUUUAGUCAGCAUUAGGGUUUUAAACCUUAAACUGAACUUUUCCUUUUAGUCAGCAUUAGGGUUUUAAACCCUAAACUGAACUUUUCCAUUCAGCUAGCAUUAGGGUUUUAAACCCUAAACUGAGCUUUUCCAUGUAAUCAGCAUUAGGGUUUUAAACACUAAACUGAAUUUUCCUUUUAGUCAGCAUUAGGGUUUUAAACCCUAAACUGAACUUUUUCCUUUCAGCCAGCAUUAGGGUUUUAAACCCUAAACUGAACUUUUUCCUUUAGUCAGCAUUAGGGUUUUAAACCAUAAACUGA